rnacentral:rRNA from 1 species
UACGUAGGGGGCAAGCGUUAUCCGGAUUUACUGGGUGUAAAGGGAGCGUAGACGGCAGAGCAAGUCUGAAGUGAAAGCCCGCGGCCCAACUGCGGGACUGCUUUGGAAACUGCCCGGCUAGAGUGCUGGAGAGGUAAGCGGAAUUCCUAGUGUAGCGGUGAAAUGUGUAGAUAUUAGGAGGAACACCAGUGGCGAAGGCGGCUUACUGGACAGUAACUGACGUUGAGGCUCGAAAGCGUGGGGAGCAAACAGG